rnacentral:tRNA from 1 species
GAGGGAAUGGCUCAGUGGUAAAGUGCGUGCUUAGUGUGCAUGAGGUCCUGGGUUCCAUCCCCAGUACUGCCA